GACGAACGCUGGCGGCGUGCUUAACACAUGCAAGUCGAACGGAAAGGCCCUGCCUUUGUGGGGUGCUCGAGUGGCGAACGGGUGAGUAACACGUGAGUAACCUGCCCUUGACUUUGGGAUAACUUCAGGAAACUGGGGCUAAUACCGGAUAGGAGCACCUGCUGCAUGGUGGGGGUCGGAAAGUUUCGGCGGUUGGGGAUGGACUCGCGGCUUAUCAGCUUGUUGGUGGGGUAGUGGCUUACCAAGGCUUUGACGGGUAGCCGGCCUGAGAGGGUGACCGGCCACAUUGGGACUGAGAUACGGCCCAGACUCCUACGGGAGGCAGCAGUGGGGUAUAUUGCACAAUGGGCGGAAGCCUGAUGCAGCGACGCCGCGUGCGGGAUGACGGCCUUCGGGUUGUAAACCGCUUUCGCCUGUGACGAAGCGUGAGUGACGGUAAUGGGUAAAGAAGCACCGGCUAACUACGUG
rnacentral:rRNA from 1 species